rnacentral:rRNA from 1 species
CCUACGGGGGGCUGCAGUUUCGAAUCCUUCACAAUGGGCGAAAGCCUGAUGGUGCGACGCCGCGUGAGGGAUGAAGGUCUUCGGAUUGUAAACCUCUGUCACCGGGGAAGAAACGCUUCAAGUUAAUAGUUUGAAGCCUGACUUAACCCGGAGAGGAAGCAGUGGCUAACUCUGUGCCAGCAGCCGCGGUAAUACAGGGACUGCAAGCGCUUAUCGGGUUCGCAGGGCGCCAAGUGUGUGAGGGGGGAAAGCCCGGAGCUUAACUCCGGAAUUGCUCCUCAAACUACAUGGCUAGAGCAUUGGAGAGGGUAGCAGAAUUCACGGUGUAGCAGUGAAAUGCGUAGAGAUCGUGAGGAAUACCAGAGGCGAAGGCGGCUACCUGGACAAUUGCUGACGCUCAGGCACGAAAGCGUGGGGAGCAAAAGGGAUUAGAUACCCGUGUAGUC